UACGGGGGGGGCAAGCGUUGUUCGGAAUUACUGGGCGUAAAGGGCUCGUAGGCGGCCAACUAAGUCGGACGUGAAAUCCCCAGGCUCAACCUGGGAACUGCGUCCGAUACUGGAUGGCUUGAAUCCGGGAGAGGGAUGCAGAAUUCCAGGUGUAGCGGUGAAAUGCGUAGAUAUCAGGAGGAACACCGGUGGCGAAGGCGGGUCUCUGGGCCGAUACUGACGCUGAGGAGCGAAAGCGUGGGGAGCGAACAGG
rnacentral:rRNA from 1 species